GCUUUUGUUCUGUUCUAUGUGAUGGCUUGUAUAUAAUUUGAGAUUUACCAACCCAGUUAAGGAGUGAUGACCAACAGAAACUGGAGCUUUUGGCCUUUCAUCUAGAUCUGUGGAGAGUUUUUCAUGCACUCAAUGAACCCUUUGAACAGAAAGUACUGAAUCUUGGUCUUUGAUUGGUGAAAUAAAUGGAAGUGGCAAGUUAGGCAAGUGAUUUUCGGCAAUGGGACGAAUUAAUACCCGAUGCAUUGGGUCUAAUCUUCAAAAACUUGUCUCUUAAGGAGUUGCUGACGGUGAUUCCAAUGGUCUACAAAUCGUGGGGUGAUUUUCUUUGUUUGUACCUGGCCGAUCUCAAAGAAUGCAUACACAAGGAUAAUUUACUCUGUGGUUAAAGAAUUGGAUUGCUGGGCUGGUGUUCAAGUAAUGAAUCAAAGAGUAUUGCUGUGUUAUUGCAUUUGUUCAAAAUAGGCCAUUGAUUGAGGGACGACAUUCUAUUGAGCUGGGCAGGUAUUUCUCCAACCUUUCACAUCCAUUUGUUAGUGAAAUCAUCUACUCCUGGCCAGGUAUUUGUUAUUGUCUCAUUUUUGUUUCAUUUUCUUCGUCCAAAAUCAAUUUUGAGUUAGUAACAGAGAUCUAAGCAAAAUGCGAGCUCUUGGGAGUCCCACUAUCAGCUUCAGACUUGACUUAGAAGCAAGUGAAAUAUGUUCAAGAACACAUUCCAAUCUGGGUUUCUCUCCAUUCCAUGCAGCCUUGGGAGCAAACCUUUGCAGAUAUGGGAUAAACAAGGUGAGUCCGGACAACCUAGUAAUAAACUUCUAACAUGCUUUUUAAAUUUCAAGUACUUUUAUUUGUUGUUCUUGUCUCUUGAAUAUGGUCUGGACUGAAGAAGCAGCUCCUUAGUUUCUUUUUUUGCUCGGUCUGAGCUUCUUUGAAUCUGAAAUAAGUCUUAAGGGCUAGUGCUGCCAGUUAAAACUUAUGUAGGCUUCUAUAGGCUUAUUUGCAGUAGGAUCCCCUUGUUUUCUUAGUAGAGUUUUAUACAAGUUGAAUUUGUUAAGUUUGGGUAUUGAUUUUGGUGGUUCAGUUUUCAGCAAUUGGUUGGUUAAGAUUAUUCUAUAUUGCUUUUGCCUUGUUAUAUUUUGCUUUAUUGCUGGUUAGCUUUGUUGCAUGUGCUGGUACCAUAGCUUUUCUUUUGGUUGAUUGCACUCCAGGUUUCUUUUCUUCUUUGAAGAUUGGACUUUCAUUGUGGACAUUUUAUUUAUUACAAAGGUAGACCAUAUUAUUAGAGCGAAGAAUAUGAUGGUAGCUCAGGAGAUCAUCGAGCUAUUUGCUGAGCUUAUUUAUAUUCGCAGAUUGAGGUCUGCUGUUCUUCUGCUGAUUACUUCUUCUAAAUAUAUUGCAAAGAAACUGGGGCCUUGUGUGCAAUGAAGGAAGCUGAUCUCCUUCCUAAUGAUCCUAAAUCUGCAAAAAGUAUAAAGCAAUUGGAGCAGAUCCUUCCAGGUUUUAUUGAAGCCAAAGGCAGCUGAAGGAUAAGAGCCAUUGAGAAUAUGAAUGUUUUUGAUUCAUGUAUAGCUAGGAAUGCUCUUGUUUGAUACAUUAUCUAGUUACUUGAAUGUAUAGAUGUUUGAAUAAUGGUACUUGAAUUAUAUGGAUUAUAGUACUGUUUAUAUGGUAA